rnacentral:rRNA from 1 species
UACGGAGGGUGCGAGCGUUGUCCGGAAUCACUGGGCGUAAAGGGCGCGUAGGCGGCCUGGUAAGUAGGGGGUGAAAUCCUGCGGCUUAACCGCAGGGCUGCCUUCUAAACUGUCAGGCUCGAGCACGGUAGAGGCAGAUGGAAUUCCCGGUGUAGCGGUGGAAUGCGUAGAGAUCGGGAAGAACAUCGGUGGCGAAGGCGGUCUGCUGGGCCGUUGCUGACGCUGAGGCGCGACAGCGUGGGGAGCAAACAGG